AUUGAACGCUGGCGGCAGGCCUAACACAUGCAAGUCGAACGAGUGGCGGACGGGUGAGUAAUGUCUGGGAAACUGCCUGAUGGAGGGGGAUAACUACUGGAAACGGUAGCUAAUACCGCAUACCAUCGGAUGUGCCCAGAUGGGAUUAGCUAGUAGGUGGGGUAAAGGCUCACCAAGGCUAUGACGCAUAACUGGUCUGAGAGGAUGAUAAGUCACACUGGAACUGAGACACGGUCCAGACUCCUACGGGAGGCAGCAGUGGGGAAUUUUGGACAAUGGGCGCAAGCCUGAUCCAGCCAUGCCGCGUGUCUGAAGAAGGCCUUCGGGUUGUAAAGGACUUUUGUCAGGGAAGCGGUACCUGAAGAAUAAGCACCGGCUAACUACGUGCCAGCCGCCGCGGUAAUUC
rnacentral:rRNA from 1 species